rnacentral:rRNA from 1 species
UACGUAGGGGGCAAGCGUUGUCCGGAAUCAUUGGGCGUAAAGCGCGUGUAGGCGGUUCGAUAAGUCUGCUGUGAAAGUCCAGGGCUCAACCCUGGAAAGCCGGUGGAUACUGUCGGACUAGAGUGCGGAAGAGGCGAGUGGAAUUCCCGGUGUAGCGGUGAAAUGCGCAGAUAUCGAGAGGAACACCAGUGGCGAAGGCGAGUCUCUGGACGACUCCUGACACUGAGGCACGAAAGCUAGGGGAGCAAACAGG